UUCGCGAUCGUAUAGUGGUCAGUAUGCUCGGCUGUCAUUCUCAGCUACAGCUCAGCUGUCAUCUCAGCUCAGCUCCCGAGAGACCGGGGUUCAAUUCCCCGUCGCGAAA
rnacentral:tRNA from 1 species